rnacentral:rRNA from 1 species
GAUGAACGCUGGCGGCGUGCCUAAUACAUGCAAGUCGAGCGAACAGACGAGGAGCUUGCUCCUCUGACGUUAGCGGCGGACGGGUGAGUAACACGUGGAUAACCUACCUAUAAGACUGGGAUAACUUCGGGAAACCGGAGCUAAUACCGGAUAAUAUAUUGAACCGCAUGGUUCAAUAGUGAAAGACGGUUUUGCUGUCACUUAUAGAUGGAUCCGCGCCGCAUUAGCUAGUUGGUAAGGUAACGGCUUACCAAGGCGACGAUGCGUAGCCGACCUGAGAGGGGAAUCGGCCACACUGGAACUGAAACACGGUCCAGACUCCUACGGGAGGCAGCAGUAGGGAAUCUUCCGCAAUGGGCGAAAGCCUGACGGAGCAACGCCGCGUGAGUGAUGAAGGUCUUCGGAUCGUAAAACUCUGUUAUUAGGGAAGAACAAAUGUGUAAGUAACUAUGCACGUCUUGACGGUACCUAAUCAGAAAGCCACGGCUAACUACGU